AUACGGAGGAUGCGAGCGUUAAUCGGAUUUACUGGGCGUAAAGCGCGCGUAGGUGGCUAAUUAAGUCAAAUGUGAAAUCCCCGAGCUUAACUUGGGAAUUGCAUUCGAUACUGGUUGGCUAGAGUAUGGGAGAGGAUGGUAGAAUUCCAGGUGUAGCGGUGAAAUGCGUAGAGAUCUGGAGGAAUACCGAUGGCGAAGGCAGCCAUCUGGCCUAAUACUGACACUGAGGUGCGAAAGCAUGGGGAGCAAACAGGAUUAGAUACCCUGGUAGUCCAUGCCGUAAACGAUGUCUACUAGCCGUUGGGGGAUUUGAUCCUUUAGUGGCGCAGCUAACGCGAUAAGUAGACCGCCUGGGGAGUACGGUCGCAAGACUAAAACUCAAAUGAAUUGGCGGGG
rnacentral:rRNA from 1 species